UACGUAUGGUGCAAGCGUUAUCCGGAUUUACUGGGUGUAAAGGGUGCGUAGGUGGUAUGGCAAGUCAGAAGUGAAAGGCUGGGGCUCAACUCCGGGACUGCUUUUGAAACUGUCAAACUAGAGUACAGGAGAGGAAAGCGGAAUUCCUAGUGUAGCGGUGAAAUGCGUAGAUAUUAGGAGGAACACCAGUGGCGAAGGCGGCUUUCUGGACUGAAACUGACACUGAGGCACGAAAGCGUGGGGAGCAAACAGG
rnacentral:rRNA from 1 species